rnacentral:rRNA from 1 species
ACGGAGGUGGCAAGCGUUGUUCGGAUUUAUUGGGUGUAAAGGGUAUGUAGGUGGUUAUGUAAGUCGAGCGUGAAAUCCAUUGGCUCAACCAAUGAACUGCACUCGAAACUGCGUAACUUGAGUUCAGGAGAGGAAAGCGGAAUUCCCGGUGUAAGAGUGAAAUCUGUAGAGAUCGGGAGGAACACCAGUGGCGAAGGCGGCUUUCUGGACUGAUACUGACACUGAAAUACGAAAGCUAGGGGAGCAAACAGG